UACGAAGGGGGCUAGCGUUGCUCGGAAUCACUGGGCGUAAAGGGUGCGUAGGCGGGUUUUUAAGUCAGAGGUGAAAUCCUGGAGCUCAACUCCAGAACUGCCUUUGAUACUGAGGAUCUUGAGUACGGGAGAGGUGAGUGGAACUGCGAGUGUAGAGGUGAAAUUCGUAGAUAUUCGCAAGAACACCAGUGGCGAAGGCGGCUCACUGGCCCGUUACUGACGCUGAGGCACGAAAGCGUGGGGAGCAAACAGG
rnacentral:rRNA from 1 species